rnacentral:tRNA from 1 species
ACGCGAUAGCUCGGCCGGUGGGGCAUCCGCGCGGUAUGCGGAGGGUCGUCGGUUCGAUUCCGGCUCGCAGUG